UUUUUUUUUGCCAUAACAUGUACUAGCUUGACAUUGGAUCUCAGUUCCCAGACCAAGGACUGAACCCAGGGCACAGUGGUGAAAGGGCUGAAUCCUAGGCCACCAGGCAGCUCCCCUGCCUGCUUCAUUUUCAUGGCAAAUGAUCUAGUGUGCUAGUUUCCCCCUACGCUUCAAUGCGAGUUCCAUGAUGGAUACAAUUUCGUCUACUAUAACUGAGCAUCUCCAGACACUGCAACGAUGCCUGACACCUAGUAGAAAACAGCAGCAAAACGAAAGGCACAUAAUAAAAAAUAACAUUAAGUGUUACUAUUAUGGCUCUGGUGGCUAUUUACUUAUCCCUUGUUCUGUGAGGCUGUGAUGCUCUAAUUCACUGAGUCCUCACGAGUCCACGAGGAAAUCAGCAUUAUCACAUUCAUUCUAGGGAUGGGAGGAAGUGAGCUGCUCGGAGGUCAGGGAUGCCCCAGGGGUACAGUUAACACAUGGAGACCAGGGAUGCAAAGGCGGGCAGGUGGGGUGACCUCUAAGACCGGGGAUCCAAAGGCAGGCAGGUGGGGUGACCUCUGAGUGUUAGGGGGAGUCUACACUCAGUAAGUUUGCUAAACAAACGAACACAGCCAAGUGCCAGGCAGCGGGGAGCUGAGCUGUUGAGGAACCGGAGACAGGCCUCCUCACUCUGCAAUGGGAUUCCUGGUGGGGGGUCCCCCCACUUCCCCUUCCUUUGUCAAGGUGCCCCUGGGCCACGAACUGCCCGAGGGACUGAGGUCAUAGCAAUAAAUGGGGGAAGAAAAUCUUUGAUUUCGGAGCCCUACCCUGAGGAUGAGGGCAGAAAUGGGCCGUUAGGUAAACAGGCAAGAAAAUAAGCCAACCUCAGACAAGUGUCAUCAGCAGAUCAAAGCAAGUAAGGGAACUGACAGACACAGCUGUUUUGUAAACCCACACGGGGCCACAAAGAGAAUUUCCUUUCCAACAGGGGAGUCCCUACAGAAUACAGGGUUUCCACGGGGCUGCUGUCGCCACAGCCAGGUCAGCAAGCAUGGUGAGGCCUCCAUGUGUCAAGUGGGGUUGAUUAUGGCUGCGGAACUGAAAUGGGGCCGUCCAGCCAUGCGGCACUGGAGGAGGCACCGAGUCUGGGAAAGCAGGGCUGCGCUCCUUAGAAGAGCUUCAAGGUCACAGAGCUGGGCCGGGUCUACAGUGACUCCAGGAGGAACCAAGGCCUUUCCCAACCAAAGCGUUCCCAUCAGUGUUUCUGCAACAUAAGAACACACAUGCUCGGGGUGCCUGCUGCACCAUAAAGUAGAAAUAAACACGCCUAAGCAAACCCGGGGCUCAGGGCCCCACACAGAAGACUUCCUGGGGCGCGGGGCGGGGACGACGGGGACCUGGGUCUGUUCCUGCACACCAUGAUGCCUCAGGGUUCAGACCAGAAACUCGGACCCGCCUCGACUUUCUUACACCUGAAAACCGUAACAUGAAACUGUCCCACGUCGCAGAGGCGGCAGCUGAGGAUCAAGAAGAUACUCGCACCUCCUCACCCCUGCUAGGAGAUGCGAGGAAAAGGGCAACAACAGGUGUUGGGGAGGCUAUGGAGAUACUGGAACCCUCCAGCACGGCUGGCGGGAACAGAAGAUGAUGCCAGGAACCUCGGACAACAGUCUGGCAGUUCUUCAAAAGUUCAACAAAGAGGAGUUUCCUGGUGGCCUAGCAGCUAAGGACUUAGCACUGUCACUGCUCUAACUCGGGUUGCUGCCGUGGCUCAGGUUUGAUCCUGGACCAGUAAACUUCUGCAUGCCAUGGAUGUGGCCAAAAAAAAAAAAUCCUUUUUCAAGUUAAACAAAGAGUUGCCUUACGAUGUGGCAACUCCACUCUUAGAUACACACCCAGGAGAAGGAAAACACGCCUUCACAAAAAAACGUGUGCAUGAGAGCCCACGGCAGCACGAUUCCUAAGAGCCCAAAAGAAGAAAUGUACCAAAUGCCCACCAACUGGGGGGUGGAUAAACCCCACGGGACACUUCCAUAAAGCAGCAUGUUAUUUGGCUGUAAAGAGGAAUAAGAUAACGAGGCAUGCCUGCUACAACAUCGAUGGAUCUUGAAAACACUAUGCUAAGUAAAAGAAGCCAAUUGCAAAAGGUCACUUAUUGUAUGAUUCCACUUACCUGAACUGUCCAAAUCCACAGAAACAGAAAGCAGAUUAGUGGUUGCCAGUAGCGGAGGCCAGGGAAUGGGCAGUGGUUUCUAACGGGUACAGGGUUUGCGGUGGGGGGGUGAUGACAAAUGCUAAUUUGGUAGUGGUGAUGGUUGUACGACUCUGAAAAUAUACUAAAAAAUACUGGAUCGUAUAUUUUUUUUGGCCAUGCCUGCAACAUGAGGAAGUUUCCAGGCCAGGGACGAAACCUGUGCCACAGCAGCGACCCAAACCACAGCAGUAACAACGCCAGAUCCUUCACCCUCUGCACCAUCAGGGGACUCCUUAAUCAUAUACUUUGAAGGGGAGAAGAGUAGAGCAUUGACUGAUGUCUCGAUACAAAUAAAUAAAUAAAAUGAUGGACUCUUCACUUCUGAGAUGAAGUUCACCUGAGACUGACGUCGGCCUCACUCGCCACCUCUCGCUCUUUUGUUGGCUUGCUCAGAUGGGAGGCAGCUGCCGUGCUGUGAGCUGCCCUUUAAACAGCCCCAAAGGCAACAGCCAAAAAAGGAACUGAGGCCCUCAGCCCAACACCAGCCAAAACCCAAGUCCUGGCCAAGAAGCUGAAGUGUGAUUAAGUGUGAGCCGCCCUGGUCCAGCCCCAGUUGAAGACACUGGCUCCUCGAUUGCACCCUGAGAGAGAUGCUGAACCCUAUCCAGAUAGUUCAUCCACGGGAAUGGUGAUGGGACAAAGGGUGCUGUUUCAGGUUAAAAAGUAUUGCCCUACGUCACCCAACAGUGAUGCGCUGGGGUGCAAGCCCACAACGGUCAGGCUACUGGCUCCCUGCUGCCCUACUGCGCUAUUCAUCCCUGUGUCCUGGCAGAUGGCUCCAAGGACAUGAUGCUCGACACACAGUAGGCGCUCAUCAAGUUUUCUAGAACUGAAGGAAAUAUACCAAUUCCCGCUUCUCUAUGGGAACCUUGAAAAUGCUCUCAAUAAGGAAACAGAAUGAGAGAAAAAUACGCAAGCCUCACUGCAUUCUGUCAUUUCCCAGUCUCGUGUCUGCAGGUGACAUUCCAACCGAGACGCUCCGUGAAAGCUGGUGACCCUGCCAUGUCCCUGACAUCACGCUACGUGAGGCAGGUGCUUCUAAGAUUUGGCCCCGGGCUCUACCAACCUCACGCACGUACUGGACCCAUCACCAUCAGAGGGUUAGCCAUCCGUGCGUCCUGAGAAGCACCCGAUCCUCAUAUAUGGCAAUGCCCCAAGUGAGGACAUCAAUCACUGCUAUUAAAACAGGACUUCGGUCCAGAAAGAAUUCGCACGGCCCUUUCUUAAAGCUUCCCCUCAAACGGUCCCCGUCUCUCCCCGCCCUCUCCCACACGUCACUUUCAAGAGAGAUUUAUUACAGGGCUGUCAACACAAUCCUACCUUUACGGAAAAAGAUAAAAAUAAGCAACACCUUACAAGAAGACGCCAUGGCGAAAGCUAAAUCAUAAAUGUUUGAUAAGGAAUGGUCAGAUCCAGACAAAUCACUGUUCAAUCCCACUUUGUAUUAAGCAGAUAAAGUCAUACAGAAAAUCAAUGUGAUGUAUUGAAAGGGAAGGAAAAGAAUGCCCAGCUCAGGGAGUGGCUACACAGUAUUAGGAAGCCGUGGCUUCAUAAGAACCUUAUAAUAUGACAACAACAUAAAAUUCUUACAUUGGGGCACUGACUGCUGACGUGUGGGGCCUGUUGAUGGCAUUCGGUCUAGGUCGAAUCAGAGCUGGAUCCUUAACCCACUGAGGAAGGCCAGGGAUCGAACCUGUGUGCUCAUGGAUGCUAGUCGGAUUUGCCCCACUGAGCCACGACGGGAACUCUGGUGCCACUGUUUUCAAGGACCAUUUGGCAAUUUCUAUGAAAUGGAUCUUUUUUUGGGGGGGGGGGCACCUGCGGCAUAUGGAGGGUCCCAGGAAUCGAACCNCUUGGAGGAAUGAAUUACUGCACACAGACCAAGUGUCCAGAGUAGGGCCUGGUACAUUAACGGGCAUCACUGAAGCAGGGGUUCACGUCAGCAUUCUGGUUCCAUCAACACUUUCUCUGGCUCCAUUAUAGAAUGGUAUAAAUACUCUCUUCUUGGGGGGGGGGACACCUAAACUGUGGAGAAGGGUGUAAAGCAGGGCUUCUCAACUGGGGGUUGGUUUGCCCUCUGCCCAAGGGAUAUCUGGCAGCACCUACAGACAUCUUUGGCUUUUUAGGACUUGGGAGGGAGGCAGGAGCGACUGGCAUCUAGUGAGGAGAGGCCAGGGUUGCUGGGAAGCGUCCCGCAAGGCACAGGAAGGCCCUACAGCCGAGUUACCCACACCGCAAAUCAAUAGCGUGAGGGUGAGAAACUCGGAGAGAAGGUCAAACAGCAAAGUCUCUUGGCCCCUGAGUCCCGCGUCUCCCGUGUGUCCAGCACCGCUCGAUUCCUCCUCACGGGGUCGUCCCCACCAACAUCCACACUCUACCCCCCGAUGACAGUGAGCUAGUCAUAAACAAGAACAACACACCAAGAGUCAGGUGUGGCCCCUGGGGGUCCCCGGCCAUGCUCUGCUCCGCCUCCCAAGCUACGCAAGGCAAGGUGGGCUCUGCCUCCUUUGAGAAUCGCCUGCCGUGAAGAGCAGCGGGUCCUACGACCUGCACCUGCGGGGCCCAGGCUGCUGGGAGUGUGGAGACCAGGGAGGGAGGACGGCCGUGACCCAGGCCAGGCAUGACAGUGACCGCGGCCAGGGUGGUGAUGCUGAGGAGGAGGACCGUGGUUGGACCGGAGGCAGGGAGUGACCAAUCAGUGAUGGCAGGACAUCUGGGGCGGGGGAGGCACCAAGACAGUCCCUGGCUGGGGGACCCUGCAGGUGGAUGCGGGAGCAGCUGCUCAUUGGGCAGGUAGACAGGCACCAGGAGAGGGCUUGUCACGCGCAGAAUUACAUGAGGGCGUGACCCCGGAGGGCAACCUUGCUUAUCACACG
rnacentral:lncRNA from 1 species